UAUGUCAUAUUCUUUGGUACAUGAUCUGGUUUUGAUUCUAGGCAAGAAAAUAACUUAUUUUGAGAAACUACUCUCUUGAUUCUUUUAAAUGUUGCUAUGAAGAAUUAACGUUUACCAAUUUAAAAUUUUUGACCAACGUUCACGUAGACUAUUGGGGUUGAUUGUAAUUGGUUUCACAUUUAAGUUCAAUGUGAAGAAAUUAUUAUUCUACGGGCCAUAAUUAGAAAUAAUAGACAAUCUAAGAGUGCAAAGUGUAAUUAAAUUCUGUGGAUGAUGGUAAUUGGAGGAAGGGGUGGUUGGAAACAAACUAAGGAAAACGAACGUCCACUGUACUUUGUAGAAGACGAAGGUUAUAACUUAUACGUACUUUUAACCAAUCGAACCUUCAAUUGGUCAGAUGGGAAAGGAAAAGAUAAAAAGAUUCUUGGUGGUGAAAUGUAUUUCUAAACUGAUCUCGUCCCUCCAUUAGUGCAUAGGGAUCAUGAUCCAAGGGAGCUCUUUGAAGCCUGAGAAUUUAUUAAUUUAAAUAUUAAAUAAAACAAAUUUUUACAACCUCGAGUGGAGAUUUUUGGGAAAAUUAAUUUAUUUUAUUUCGGCAUUUGAAAUAUUUUUAUAGAAUUUGACUUUUUAGGCUUAGUUUGGAUUUUUUACUGUUAAUUUAGCUGAUUUGAUUUUUAAGUUUUUUCGUUUUUAGUAUUUCUUUUAUUUAAUUAAAUAUUUUAUAUAUUUUCAAUAUUCUUGACAAGAGAAAUAUGAAUAUAUAAAAACUUUGCUCACGUUUGAAUUUUUUAAUAAAGACAAAAAAAUUGUAUAAUUUAUAGAGUAAAAAUAAUUUUUUUUGUCUCCAAUGUUUUUCUUUUUGAAAAAUAGAAUACGAUUUUUAAACCCAGUUUUUUUUUAUAGCUAAUUUAGCGGUUGGUUUUUAAGUUUUUUUCGUAUUUAGUAAAUUUUUUAUUACUAGAUCAAAAAAUUAUUACUUUUCAAUUUUAUUGACAAGAGAAAUCUAAAUAUAUAAAAAUUUGCUCGCAUUUGAAAUUUUUUUACUAAAGACAAAAAAAUUAUCUAAUUAAUAGAGUACAAAAAAUCUUUUGUCUCUAGUGUUUUGUUGUUGUUUUUUUUGAAAAAAUAGAUUAUGAUUUUUAGGCCCAAAUCUUUUUUUUUUUAUAGAUAAUUUAGCUGGUUUGAUUUUUAAGUUUUUUUUUGUAGUGAUUUUUUUUAUUUAAUCAUAAUUUUAUAAUUUUUUAGUUUUCUUGAAUGGAGAAAUCUGAAUAUAUACAAGCUUUGCUUACAUUUGAUUUUUUUUUUAACUAAAGAUAAAAAAAUAUCUAAUUUAAAGAGUAAUUUUUGUUUUUGUCUGUAGUAUUUUUUUUUUCAAAUUAGAUGAAUAUGUUGUAAACCUAUGCUAUAUAAUUACACACACACACACAAAAAAAUGCUAUAUAUAGAACAGCAUUCCAAUUGGAUGUAUACUAUUUUUUAAAAUUCUGUCACACUUUUAUAUUUUUGAAUUACCUUUCUUUUGAGUUAAUAAUAUUAUAUUCUAAAAAUUUUUAAAACGAAACAGAAUAACAAAAGCAUAAAAACUAUUCAAAUCCAUCACCCGUUGUGUGAAAUACAAUAUUAAUUUAAUUACUGCAAUGAUAAGUGUAAUAAUUUAAAAAAUAUUAAUAAAUAAUACUACUAUAAAAUUAUAUUUAAAAAAAAUAUAUAGGGUGACAAUUUCACUCAACCAACCGCUUAAAUCCAACACUACGUGUUUAUACAUCAUCCAUUCUAAUUUAUUUAUUUACUUUCAAAAAAAGGCAAUUUCUAAAAUAGUAUAGAUUCCUUCCUUUGCUCUUAAACCGAUUUGAUGUGACACAUUUACGUUUCACUUUUAUGUUUAUCUAAAUUGUUGCAAUUAAUUUAGGACUCAUUUUUGAUAAGUGUUAUUUUAGCUACUUUAAUUUUUGUGUUUUUUUUUUUACUGAACUUUUGUCACCGUUUGAUUAAGUUUAUAUUUUUCGGGUUUUCUUGAUGAAAUGAGUCUAAAAAAAAUUUAAAAAAUCAUAUAAUUUUAAAAAAAUAAUUUAGUUUUCGUAUUUUCUAGUCAUUACUAAAUCUUUGUCUUUGAUCAAUAUGUUUUUUUUUUGGUUUCUCAAGAUGACAUAUUUAAUAAAAAUAAAAAAAAAUUAUGAAUUAAAAAAUUUCAAAAUUUUUUAUUUAUCUAAUUAUUUUUAACCAGAGGACUCUAUAAAUAUAAAUUUUUAAUUUGAACUCAAAAAGAAUUUAUCUUAAAAAAAAUAAAAUUCUUUAUUUGCAAGGGACAAAUAAAUUAGAAUAAAAUAGAAGUAUUAUAUUAUUAAUGACGAAAACACUAGAAACAAAGAGUAGCACGCCAGUGCUUGGUUUUUUGGACUGAUUAUUUGUCGUGAUGUGGACGUGGCUAAGCACGUGCCACACACAAACACAGCAUACCAAACCAAACAUAUUUGCCGUGAUCCUUCCUAACCUUCUCUUU
rnacentral:lncRNA from 1 species